rnacentral:rRNA from 1 species
UGCAAGUCGAACGCUUUUUCUUUCACCGGAGCUUGCUCCACCGAAAGAAAAAGAGUGGCGAACGGGUGAGUAACACGUGGGUAACCUGCCCAUCAGAAGGGGAUAACACUUGGAAACAGGUGCUAAUACCGUAUAACACUAUUUUCCGCAUGGAAGAAAGUUGAAAGGCGCUUUUGCGUCACUGAUGGAUGGACCCGCGGUGCAUUAGCUAGUUGGUGAGGUAACGGCUCACCAAGGCCACGAUGCAUAGCCGACCUGAGAGGGUGAUCGGCCACACUGGGACUGAGACACGGCCCAGACUCCUACGGGAGGCAGCAGUAGGGAAUCUUCGGCAAUGGACGAAAGUCUGACCGAGCAACGCCGCGUGAGUGAAGAAGGUUUUCGGAUCGUAAAACUCUGUUGUUAGAGAAGAACAAGGAUGAGAGUAGAACGUUCAUCCCUUGACGGUAUCUAACCAGAAAGCCACGGCUAACUACGUGCCAGCAGCCGCGGUAAUACGUAGGUGGCAAGCGUUGUCCGGAUUUAUUGGGCGUAAAGCGAGCGCAGGCGGUUUCUUAAGUCUGAUGUGAAAGCCCCCGGCUCAACCGGGGAGGGUCAUUGGAAACUGGGAGACUUGAGUGCAGAAGAGGAGAGUGGAAUUCCAUGUGUAGCGGUGAAAUGCGUAGAUAUAUGGAGGAACACCAGUGGCGAAGGCGGCUCUCUGGUCUGUAACUGACGCUGAGGCUCGAAAGCGUGGGGAGCGAACAGGAUUAGAUACCCUGGUAGUCCACGCCGUAAACGAUGAGUGCUAAGUGUUGGAGGGUUUCCGCCCUUCAGUGCUGCAGCAAACGCAUUAAGCACUCCGCCUGGGGAGUACGACCGCAAGGUUGAAACUCAAAGGAAUUGACGGGGGCCCGCACAAGCGGUGGAGCAUGUGGUUUAAUUCGAAGCAACGCGAAGAACCUUACCAGGUCUUGACAUCCUUUGACCACUCUAGAGAUAGAGCUUCCCCUUCGGGGGCAAAGUGACAGGUGG